UAUAUGGAGAGAGAGGGAGAGAGAGAUAUAUAUAGAGAUGGUGGAAGUACCAUUUGAGAAGAUUCAAAAGGAUGGACGCCUUCUUCACCCGGUCUCCUGAAAGAAAGAGGAAUUGCUGACUCAGUCUUCGCCGCAAUAUGAAUCCCUUUUGCAGCUAAUUGUUCCGUCUGUGUAGCUUGGCGUGCUUCCUUCUCUUUUUCUUCUUUUUUCACCUUUUCUCUAAACUCCUUCAUUAUUUUCUGUUUUAAGAUGAAGCC
rnacentral:lncRNA from 1 species